ensembl:lncRNA
AUGGACGGGUCAGACGGCUUAUGUCAAUCAGACCAAUCCUCCACAGAAUUGACGCCGGAUGAGAUCGAAAUGCUAAGUAUUCUGCCGGACUCUUUAGAACAGUAUUUGUUUAAUCUAGAAUCCCCUGCUAUUUUGGAUCUUUUUGAAUUAGCCGUAAAUCCAAACAUGAAUUUGUUUGAUCCUCUGCUAAGCCUAGACAACGAUCCCGUUGUACAACACGGCGGUGUUUUAAACAGCCCACCGGCAGCGUGUACCGAGGCUGAUCCUGACAACACAGAGCACCCCGUCGGUAAUGAUACUUCGCAACCGUCCGUAUCAGGUAAUGUCGACCCUACUACACAGACUCGAUUAAGCCGUACAGACGUUGAUAGGUUGAUUCGCGAGGGUGGGGACGUUAACGGAUAUCAUGUUUUACCACGACCUCGUUUCAAUAUCCUGACAUUGAGAAGGACUACGAAUCUGAGAGAGAUUAACUCUACAGAUUUGGCCUCUUACCACAUCCGCUUACAUGUCAUGCUUACUGGAAUUGUGAAUUUCGCUAGGGAAUUUGACCAAAAUUCUCCGGUGAUCAAUAUCACAUUGACGGCUCCCAGUUUACAGACGUCCGUUAGUGGGAUUUUAACCCACGGUAAUAAUUACGACGUGGAUGGGUUUAUGGAUCAAAUUGAAAGAGUUUUACAGAGCAACGACCAGUUACUAUCUGACCAAACCGUAGAAUUUGAAGCUUCCGUAGCCAUGAACAGACAAGGCGGCGGUCGUCGGAAACUCGUGGACUUGGCUGUUGAUGAGGUGAUCAAAAGGAAAAAGACGAGUUUAUUUUGCCCGACCAAUAUUUCAAAUAAUUUGUGCUUCUCCAUCUGUCUCGCCCGUUUUCUUAACCCCCAACACCCCGAGAGUGAGUUAGAAAAACUGGGUACCGUCAUCCAAAACAGCGUCGGCUUCUCAAUCCAAGACCGAAUCGGUCUCGGCGACAUAGCCUCGUUUGAACGAGCGCCAUCUAAUGCCAUGAUCUUAGAAACCUACAAAAAUUCAGACGAACCCCAUCCAAAAAUGGUCUUCCUGUAUCUCCACGACGACCACUACUACAUGAUAAUGAGUUUGAAGGCAUUCAUCGGUUCAACAUUUGUGUGUCCAUUUUGCUACAAAUCUUACACCAACCGCAGUGCGCAUCGAUGUAAGCACGCCUGCAACAUCUGUUUCGAUGCGGAAUGUUACAGGUCCCCUGUAAGAAUCAUACAUUGCCCCGAUUGUUUGGGUUACUGUAAAUCGACUUAUUGUUUCGAAAUGCAUAAAAAAAAAACACCUCCCGGUCAGGAAUACCCUGCCUGUGAUAUGAUCAAAUACUGCAAAUUAUGUAACAGACGUUACAGCGUUAAACCGGGCAACGAGAAAACCAAACACAUAUGCGCCCCAGACAAUUGUGUGCAUUGUCGAGAGCGUCUGAUGGACGAUGGGGCACAUCAAUGCUUCAUACAACCUCUAGAGCCUAAGGAACCGUGUGAAAAAUACAUCUUUUACGAUUUUGAAACACGUUACGAAAACGGCCGCCAUGAGGCUAAUUUUGUCUGUGCACUGACAUUCAAAGGUCAGAAAUUUACUGCCUACGGUACGGACUGCAUCGCUAAGCUAAUCAAGCACUUCAGACAACCCCGAUACAAAGGCUACUGCUUCAUCGCUCAUUACGCCUCCAGAUUUGACGCCUUUCUAAUUCUGGAGUAUUUUUGCAAAGCAGGGAUCGUACCGUACCCUGACAAAAAGUUCUACAACUACGAGAACAUGUCGGAUAAAGACCGAGAAAAGUUCGACACGUGGUACAGCACGGUGAAGGGUGAGUUCUUUAACUUCAAGAAAGAACUGUAUGACUACGGCGUUAACGAUGUCGUGUUAUUGCGUGAAGAAUGCAUGAAGUACAGGAUGUCAUUCCUAGACUGCACCCAACUCGACCCUUUUGGGUUCACGACGAUCGCCAGCUGCGCAAUGGGGGUCUUCAAAACACAUUAUCUCGCCAGAAACACGCUCGCCCUGACGCAUAGCAAAACGUACAUCCGUCAGAAUAAGUCCUACUCAAGCGGUUCGAUCCAAUGGCUCGAGUAUAUAAAAAAGACUCGAAACGUGGACGUUCAUCACGCCGUAAACCACGGCGAAGUAUCGAUCGGUAAGUACUUUUUAGACGGCUACUACGAGCAGGACGGCGUCAGGCGCGGCUUAGAAUACGCGGGGUGCAUCUUCCAUGGACACUGCUGUCGCUUUGAACCCAAUCAGACGCACCCCCUCUCCAGAGUACCCUAUGGGGUUCUCAGGAACCAGUUUGACGAUAAGGUUGAAAUUCUCCGGAACGCGUAUGGUUUGCAAAUUGAGGUUCUGUGGGAAUGCGAAUGGAAUCGGAUGAAAAAGACCGAUCCCUUACUGCUUACUGCACGCCGUCCUCCCUUUCAGAUCCCGAGGAAAACUCACAUUUCCGCUAUGUAG